rnacentral:sRNA from 1 species
ACUCAGUAAAUAUUGUGAGCCAGGCACUAUUCUCGGCUCUGUGGUUGCAUCAGUGAACAAAACAGACGCUAAUCCUACUUUCAUGAGCCAUCUGUAAUAGAAUGGGUGAGUCAAGAAAUUGACACAUGCAUUAGAAAAAUAUGUAGCGUGUCGCUGGUUUGAAGACAUACCUGAUAUCGGGUCAGAGAGCCAAGGAGUCUCGCUGCAGCUGUGCAGAGGCCUUGCUUUCUGGCUUUGAGGUCAUUGACGGCUCACAGGUGUCCUCAGGCCCUAGGGGACAGGGGACAGCGUCAUCAGGGAAUGUCAGUGACUUGGCGCAGACUGUCAAAACCUUUGAUAACCUUAAGACCUGCCCUUCGUGCGGAAUCACAUUUGCUCCCAAAUCUGAAGCCGGCGCCGAGGGAGGAGCACCUCAAAACGGCUGCCAAGACGAGCAUAAAAACAGCACCAAGAUCUUGCAGGAGAAGGGAAGGUGGGCAGGGGUGAGCCUGGACCAGUCGGCUCUCCUUCCGCUGAGGUUCAAGAACAUCCGGGAGAAAACGGACGCCCACUUUGUGGACGUUAUCAAAGAAGACAGCCUGAUGA